GUUCUGGAAGUACAUACACUAAAAUUAGAACGAUACAGAGAAGAUUAGCAUGGCCCCAGCGCAAAGAUGACGCACAGAUUAGUGCAGUGUUCCAUAUUUUU
rnacentral:snRNA from 1 species